rnacentral:rRNA from 1 species
CCUACGGGUGGCAGCAGUGGGGAAUAUUGGACAAUGGGCGAAAGCCUGAUGCAGCCAAGUCGCGUGAGUGAUGAAGGAUCUCUGGUUUGUAAGCUUCUUUUGUAUGGAAAUAAAGUGAGGAACGUGUUCCUUUUUGUAUGUACCAUCUACAUAAGAGUCGGCUAGCUAAGUGCCAGCAGCCGAGGUAAUACGGGGGGUGCGGGCGUUAUCCGGAUGGAUUGGGUUUAAAGGGAGCGUAGGUGGUUAAUUAAGUCAGAGGUGAAAGUUUGUGGCUCAACCAUAAAAUUGCCUGUGAAACUGGUUGACUUGAGUAGAUGUGAGGUAGGUGGAAUGCGUGGUGUAGCGGUGAAAUGCAUAGAUAUCACGAAGAACACCGAUUGCGAAGGCAGCUUACUAAACUAUAACUGACACUGAAGCACGAAAGCGUGGGGAUCAAACAGGAUUAGAUACCCGUGUAGUC